AGUGAACGCUGGCGGUAGGCCUAACACAUGCAAGUCGAACGGCAGCACAGAGGAGCUUGCUCCUUGGGUGGCGAGUGGCGGACGGGUGAGGAAUACAUCGGAAUCUACUCUGUCGUGGGGGAUAACGUAGGGAAACUUACGCUAAUACCGCAUACGACCUACGGGUGAAAGCAGGGGAUCUUCGGACCUUGCGCGAUUGAAUGAGCCGAUGUCGGAUUAGCUAGUUGGCGGGGUAAAGGCCCACCAAGGCGACGAUCCGUAGCUGGUCUGGGAGGAUGAUCAGCCACACUGGAACGGGGACACGGUCCAGACUCCUACGGGAGGCAGCAGGGGGGAAUAUUGGACAAUGGGCGCAAGCCUGAUCCAGCCAUACCGCGUGGGUGAAGAAGGCCUUCGGGUUGUAAAGCCCUUUUGUUGGGAAAGAAAUCCAUCUGGUUAAUACCCGGGUGGGAUGACGGUACCCAAAGAAUAAGCACCGGCUAACUUCGUGCCAGCCGCCGCCGUAA
rnacentral:rRNA from 1 species